rnacentral:rRNA from 1 species
AUGAACGUUGGCGGCGUGAUUAAGGCAUGCAAGUCGGGCGACGUGCUUUAUUGUAGCAAUACAAUGAAGAGGCGAGCGGCAAACGGGUGAGUAACACAUUGGUAACCUACCUUCAAGACGGGGACAACUAUCCGAAAGGAUAGCUAAUACCCGAUAGUCAUGUGGGGACAUAAGUCAUUCACAUGUAAAUGGUUUUUCGCUUGAAGAGGGGCCUAUGGCCUAUCAGCUAGUUGGCGGGGUAAAAGCCCACCAAGGCGACGACGGGUAGCAGGCGUGAGAGCGUGACCUGCCUCACUGGGACUGAGACACUGCCCAGACACCUACGGGUGGCUGCAGUCAUGAAUAUUCCACAAUGGACGAAAGUCUGAUGGAGCGACGCCGCGUGCAGGAAGACGCCCUUCGGGGUGUAAACUGCUUUUAUGAGGGACGAAUUCGUGACGGUACCUCAUGAAUAAGUGGUUGCUAACUCUGU